CUCAAUAUCAAGUAAAACUGGACAUCCUUGGUCACAUCAACAGUAGUACACCUCAGAAUCUAUCACUCGUUAAUUAUAAGCACUACAAAGUAUAAUAGUAAGACCGCUUCAAAAAAAGUAUAAUAAUAAGACCGGUUCAAAAAAAGGUAUGUUAGUAAGACAUAUGACAGAUAGUUGAGACGUACCAUUAUACUGUAGGUUGUUCUACAUCUAUACUACUUUUUUUAUGACAUGUAACUCAGGUGAGAUAGACUAAGAUCGCCACUCCCAAUCAUGUGUAAGCUGCAGCCCUUGACAAUUUCUUCCGACCAAGUAACUUGAUUUGUUGUGGCUUUGGUUCUCAGGCAGCAAGUAGAUUUUUUCCUCGCGACGAAUGAACUGGUUUGUAAAAAAAAAUAGAACUCCGUUACUGAAUAUUAGCUUAAUGCAGAAGAGUAUAAAUUCUGGUACUCUUAUUGAAAUCACCCUACUAAUGUGGUAGCACAUAAAGUACCUAUCACAUAUUUAUCAGCAUCAUGGUUAUAAAAGCUUUUGUGCAAAACGAUAAAGUAGUAAGCUAGAGGAGUGAAUUGUUAGUUCCACAUAGGAAAUAGAAACAUACUCCUCUUUCUCAAACAAACUUCCCGUCUGUGUACAUAACAGUAGCAUGGAGUGGGAACUGCUAUUGCAUGGUUAGAAGGCGCUGUACUAAGCAUGUUGCAUACCACAUGCUAAGUUUGUGGUUAGUCGAUCCAUCAGUUAGCUGUACGAAAAAUAGGGAAAGAAAAGGCAUACAGAAUGAUUGUUUCUAGUAGAAAUUGUACUGCAAAUAUUGUACCCUAAGCACAAUGAACUUUACAAAAAGAAACCUUACAUUGCUCGGAACAUAUCUAUAGUAACAGGAAAAAAACGCCUAGAAGACAAAGAUGUAUGCACCUAGAUGACGGCCCUAUGUGUCGCCUUAUACCUGAUGUGAAUUGCAGUUACAUAAUUUUGCUAGCCAGCUCAUAAAUGUUGAAGAAAAAUCUUUACAGU
rnacentral:lncRNA from 1 species